rnacentral:rRNA from 1 species
ACGGAAGGUGCAAGCGUUAUCCGGAAUCACUGGGUUUAAAGGGUGCGUAGGCGGCGUAAUAAGUCAGAGGUGAAAGCUCACAGCUUAACUGUGGAAUUGCCUUUGAUACUGUUAUGCUUGAAUUAGGUUGAGGUUGGCGGAAUGAGUCAUGUAGCGGUGAAAUGCAUAGAUAUGACUUAGAACAUCGAUUGCGAAGGCAGCUGGCUAGACCUUAAUUGACGCUGAGGCACGAAAGCGUGGGGAGCGAACAG